rnacentral:rRNA from 1 species
GCGCUCGAGGAUGAGCCUGCGGCCCAUCAGGUAGUUGGUGGGGUAAUGGCCUACCAAGCCUAAGACGGGUAGCUGGUCUGAGAGGAUGGUCAGCCACACUGGAACUGAGACACGGUCCAG